AUUGAACGCUGGCGGAAUGCUUUACACAUGCAAGUCGAACGGCAGCACGGGGGCAGCCCUGGUGGCGAGUGGCGAACGGGUGAGUAAUACAUCGGAACGUGCCCGGUCGUGGGGGAUAACGUAGCGAAAGUUACGCUAAUACCGCAUACGAUCUGAGGAUGAAGGCGGGGGACCUUCGGGCCUCGCGCGAUCGGAGCGGCCGAUGUCAGAUUAGGUAGUUGGUGGGGUAAAGGCCUACCAAGCCGACGAUCUGUAGCUGGUCUGAGAGGACGACCAGCCACACUGGGACUGAGACACGGCCCAGACUCCUACGGGAGGCAGCAGUGGGGAAUUUUGGACAAUGGGCGCAAGCCUGAUCCAGCCAUUCCGCGUGCAGGACGAAGGCCUUCGGGUUGCAAACUGCUUUUGUACGGAACGAAAAGGCUCUGGCUAAUACCUGGGGCUCAUGACGGUACCGUAAGAAUAAGCACCGGCUAACUACGUG
rnacentral:rRNA from 1 species